rnacentral:rRNA from 1 species
GGUGAGUAAUACGUGAGUAACCUGCCCUUGACUCUGGGAUAAGCCUGGGAAACUGGGUCUAAUACUGGAUAUGACCUCCUGUCGCAUGGUGGGGGGUGGAAAGGGUUUGUACUGGUUGUGGAUGGGCUCACGGCCUAUCAGCUUGUUGGUGGGGUAAUGGCCUACCAAGGCGACGACGGGUAGCCGGCCUGAGAGGGUGACCGGCCACACUGGGACUGAGACACGGCCCAGACUCCUACGGGAGGCAGCAGUGGGGAAUAUUGCACAAUGGGCGCAAGCCUGAUGCAGCGACGCCGCGUGAGGGAUGACGGCCUUCGGGUUGUAAACCUCUUUCAGCACGGAAGAAGCGAAAGUGACGGUACGUGCAGAAGAAGCGCCGGCUAACUACGUGCCAGCAGCCGCGGUAAUACGUAGGGCGCAAGCGUUGUCCGGAAUUAUUGGGCGUAAAGAGCUCGUAGGCGGUUUGUCGCGUCUGCUGUGAAAGCCCGGGGCUUAACCCCGGGUGUGCAGUGGGUACGGGCAGACUUGAGUGCAGUAGGGGAGACUGGAACUCCUGGUGUAGCGGUGAAAUGCGCAGAUAUCAGGAAGAACACCGAUGGCGAAGGCAGGUCUCUGGGCUGUUACUGACGCUGAGGAGCGAAAGCAUGGGGAGCGAACAGGAUUAGAUACCCUGGUAGUCCAUGCCGUAAACGUUGGGCACUAGGUGUGGGGGACAUUCCACGUUUUCCGCGCCG